AAUCAACGCUGGCGGCGUGCCCCAGACAUGCAAGUCGAACGAGAACCUCCCUUCGGGGAGGAGACAGUGGCGCACGGGUGAGUAACACGUGGGUAAUUUACCUUUGGGUGGGGAACAACAGCCGGAAACGGCUGCUAAUACCGCAUAAUGCAGCGGCUCGACAUCGGGACAGUUGUUAAAGCGGGGGAUCGCAAGACCUCGCGCCUGAAGAGAAGCCUGCGGCGGAUUAGCAGUUGGUAGGGUAAUGGCCUACCAAGGCGACGAUCUGUAACCGGCCUGAGAGGGCGGUCGGUCACACUGACACUGACAUACGGGUCAGACUCCUACGGGAGGCAGCAGUCGGGAAUUUUGGGCAAUGGGCGAAAGCCUGACCCAGCAACGCCGCGUGAAGGAUGAAGCUUUUCGGUAGUGUAAACUUACAUAAAGAAUGGGAAGAAUAAGUAGUGGGAUAAUACCCUUCACGAUGACGGUACCAUUUGUUAAGCUCCGGCUAACUCCGUGCCAGCCGCCGCCGUAAC
rnacentral:rRNA from 1 species